AUUUAGAUAGUUUAUUCAAAAAUUUUGAUUUGUGGAAUCAGGGAUAUUUAAAAUUUUAAAUUCUAAAUU
rnacentral:tRNA from 1 species